GCAGUCGAGGGGCAUCGGGGCGAGGAGCAAUCCUUGCCGCCGGCGACCGGCGCACGGGUGAGUAACGCGUAUGCGACCUGCCCGUUGCAGGGGGAUAAUCGGGAGAAAUCCCGUCUAAUAGCGCGUAACGCCGCGGGGCUGCAUGGCCCUGCGGCCAAAGGAAGCGAUUCCGGCAACGGAUGGGCAUGCGUGACAUUAGCUAGUUGGCGGGGCAACGGCCCACCAAGGCGACGAUGUCUAGGGGUUCUGAGAGGAAGGUCCCCCACACUGGUACUGAGACACGGACCAGACUCCUACGGGAGGCAGCAGUGAGGAAUAUUGGUCAAUGGGCGCGAGCCUGAACCAGCCAAGUCACGUGAGGGAUGACGGCCCUACGGGUUGUAAACCUCUUUUGUCGGGGAGCAAAUUCCGCCACGUGUGGCGGAGUCGAGAGUACCCGAAGAAAAAGCAUCGGCUAACUCCGUGCCAGCAGCCGCGGUAAUACGGAGGAUGCGAGCGUUAUCCGGAUUUAUUGGGUUUAAAGGGUGCGUAGGCGGACUGUCAAGUCAGCGGUAAAAUACGGGGGCUCAACCUCCGCCCGCCGUUGAAACUGACGGUCUUGAGUGGGCGAGAAGUAUGCGGAAUGCGUGGUGUAGCGGUGAAAUGCAUAGAUAUCACGCAGAACUCCGAUUGCGAAGGCAGCAUACCGGCGCCCAACUGACGCUGAAGCACGAAAGCGUGGGUAUCGAACAGGAUUAGAUACCCUGGUAGUCCACGCAGUAAACGAUGAAUACUAGCUGUC
rnacentral:rRNA from 1 species